GCAGUCGCCACGGUAAUACGUAGGUGGCAAGCGUUGUCCGGAAUUAUUGGGCGUAAAGGGCUCGCAGGCGGUUUCUUAAGUCUGAUGUGAAAGCCCCCGGCUCAACCGGGGAGGGUCAUUGGAAACUGGGAAACUUGAGUGCAGAAGAGGAGAGUGGAAUUCCACGUGUAGCGGUGAAAUGCGUAGAGAUGUGGAGGAACACCAGUGGCGAAGGCGACUCUCUGGUCUGUAACUGACGCUGAGGAGCGAAAGCGUGGGGAGCGAACAGGAUUAGAUACCCCCGUAGUCCCUGUCUCUUAUAC
rnacentral:rRNA from 1 species